GGUAAAGAAAGGGGUUGAACCAAUCUGGGUAAGUUUACAGCUUACCGCCUAUCGCUCGGCCACUUUACC
rnacentral:tRNA from 1 species